UACGUAGGGGGCAAGCGUUGUCCGGAUUAUUGGGCGUAAAGAGCGUGUAGGCGGCCUGACAAGUCUGCUGUGAAAACUCGAGGCUCAACCUCGAGAUGUCGGCGGGAAACUGGCAGGCUAGAGUGCGGGGAGAGGAGAGUGGAAUUCCUGGUGUAGCGGUGAAAUGCGCAGAUAUCAGGAAGAACACCCGUGGCGAAGGCGGCUCUCUGGAACGCAACUGACGCUGAGACGCGAAAAGCGUGGGGAGCAAACAGG
rnacentral:rRNA from 1 species